rnacentral:tRNA from 1 species
UGGGGGAUAGUUUAACGGUAGAACGGUGGACUCUGACUCCUCUGGUUCAGGUUCGAAUCCUGGUCCCCCAGCCA